CGCCUGCCCGGUGCUGGAAGGUUAAGGGGAUCUGUUAGAGUAAUCGAAGCAGUGAACUUAAGCCCCAGUAAACGGCGGCCGUAACUAUAACGGUCCUAAGGUAGCGAAAUUCCUUGUCGGGUAAGUUCCGACCCGCACGAAAGGCGUAACGAUUUGGGCACUGUCUCAACAACAGACUCGGUGCAAUUGUAAUUCCGGUGAAGAUGCCGGAUAGCUGCGACAGGACGGCAAGACCCCAUGGAGCUCUACUGUAGCUUGACAUUGGGUCUUGGUACUACAUGUACAGGAUAGGUGGGAGGCUUUGAACCCAGGACGCCAGUUUUGGCGGAGCCAUCCUUGGGAUACCCCCCUUGUAGUACUGGGACUCUAACCAUAGGCCAUGAAUCGGGUCUUGGGACACUGUCAGGGGGGCAGUUUGACUGGGGCGGUC
rnacentral:rRNA from 1 species